rnacentral:rRNA from 1 species
CCUUGCCAGCCCGCUCAGAAACUCAAAGGAAUUGACGGGGGCCCGCACAAGCGGAGGAGCAUGUGGUUUAAUUCGAUGAUACGCGAGGAACCUUACCUGGGCUCGAACGUAAGAUGACUGUAGGUGAAAGCUUACAUCUCUUCGGAGCAUUUUACGAGGUGCUGCAUGGUUGUCGUCAGCUCGUGCCGUGAGGUGUCGGGUUAAGUCCCAUAACGAGCGCAACCCUACCUUUAGUUGCCAUCAGGUAAUGCUGGGGACUCUAAAGGAACUGCCUACGCAAGUAGUGAGGAAGGCGGGGAUGACGUCAAAUCAGCACGGCCCUUACGUCCAGGGCUACACACGUGCUACAAUGGCCGAUACAGAGGGCAGCUACCUGGUGACAGGAUGCAAAUCUCCAAAGUCGGUCUCAGUUCGGAUCGGAGUCUGCAACCCGACUCCGUGAAGUUGGAUUCGCUAGUAAUCGCGCAUCAGCCAUGGCGCGGUGAAUACGUUCCCGGGCCUU